rnacentral:rRNA from 1 species
GCCCAGCUUGCUGGGUGGAUUAGUGGCGAACGGGUGAGUAACACGUGGGUGAUCUGCCCUGCACUUCGGGAUAAGCCUGGGAAACUGGGUCUAAUACCGGAUAGGACCUCGGGAUGCAUGUUCCGGGGUGGAAAGGUUUUCCGGUGCAGGAUGGGCCCGCGGCCUAUCAGCUUGUUGGUGGGGUAACGGCCCACCAAGGCGACGACGGGUAGCCGGCCUGAGAGGGCGACCGGCCACACUGGGACUGAGACACGGCCCAGACUCCUACGGGAGGCAGCAGUGGGGAAUAUUGCACAAUGGGCGCAAGCCUGAUGCAGCGACGCCGCGUGAGGGAUGACGGCCUUCGGGUUGUAAACCUCUUUCAGUACCGACGAAGCGCGAGUGACGGUAGGUACAGAAGAAGCACCGGCCAACUACGUGCCAGCAGCCGCGGUAAUACGUAGGGUGCGAGCGUUGUCCGGAAUUACUGGGCGUAAAGAGCUCGUAGGCGGUUUGUCGCGUCGUCUGUGAAAACCCGCAGCUCAACUGCGGGCUUGCAGGCGAUACGGGCAGACUUGAGUACUGCAGGGGAGACUGGAAUUCCUGGUGUAGCGGUGAAAUGCGCAGAUAUCAGGAGGAACACCGGUGGCGAAGGCGGGUCUCUGGGCAGUAACUGACGCUGAGGAGCGAAAGCGUGGGUAGCGAACAGGAUUAGAUACCCUGGUAGUCCACGCCGUAAACGGUGGGCGCUAGGUGUGGGUUUCCUUCCACGGGAUCCGUGC